rnacentral:lncRNA from 1 species
AUGAUCUAUAUGUAAGUCCUGCAGGUUUUAUUUGAUCAUGACCUCAAUUUCACGGUUCAUUGCACAGUGUUAAGUUUUUGUGUUUUGGUCUGUUUUUCUCAAACUAUAAGUAAUAGGUCAACUAUAUUUGUUGUAUGGAAGCAUUGUUAGCUGUACAUGUCUGCCUGGCAUGGUUCAUCUGACCUUAACCUCAUUUUCAUGGUUCAUUGGUCUUUUGUUUAGCUAUCUUGGUUAAUGUUAAGUUUAUGUGGCAGUUGUAAUAAAGCUUUAUACUUACGACUAUCAACAUAAUAUCAAUGAUUGGUAAAGAAGGCGAGACAUUUCAGUGUGUGCACUCUUGUUUAUACAACCGCAAAAAAUAAAAAAUUUUUGGUCGUAUAUUGGUUUCUCGUUGUCGUCGUCCUUGUCAUUGUGGUCGUCGUCGUUGUCGUCUUUGUGGUGGUGGUGGUGGUCGUCAUCCGAAUACUUUUAGUUUUCGCACUAUAACUUUAGUUUAAGUGAAUAGAAAUCUAUGAAAUUUUGGCACAAGGUUUAUGACCACAAAAGGAAGGUUAGGAUUGAGUUUGGAAGUUUUAAUUCCAACUGUUUAGGAAUAAGGUGCCAAAAAGGGCCCAAAUAAGCAUUAUUCUUGGUUUUCGCACAAUAACUUUAGUAUAGGUAAAUAGAAAUCAAUGAAAUUUAAACACAAGGUUUAUGAAUACAAAAGGAAGGUUGGGAUUGAUUUUAGGAGUUGAGAUUCCAACAGUUUAGGAAUUAGGGGCCAAAAAGGGGCCCAAAUAAGCAUUUUUCUUGGUUUUCGCACCAUAACUUUAGUAUAAGUAAAUAGAAAUCUAUGAAAUUUAAACACAAGGUUUAUGACCAUAAAAGGAAGGUUGGAAUUGAUUUUGGGAGUUUUGGUACUAACAGUUUAGGAAUAAGGGGCCAAAAGGGUCCAAAAUUAAACUUUGUUUGAUUUCAUCAAUAAUUGAA